rnacentral:misc_RNA from 1 species
GAUGAAGAACGUAGCGAAAUGCGAUAAGUAAUGUGAAUUGCAGAAUUCAGUGAAUCAUCGAAUCUUUGAACGCACAUUGCGCCCGUCAGUAUUCUGGCGGGCAUGCCUGUUCGAGCGUCAUUACGCCCCUCAAGUCCCCUGUGGACUUGGUGUUGGGGAUCGGCGAGGCUGGUUUUCCAGCACAGCCGUCCCUUAAAUUAAUUGGCGGUCUCGCCGUGGCCCUCCUCUGCGCAGUAGUAAAACACUCGCAAAAGGAGCCCGGCGCGGUCCACUGCCGUAAAACCCCCCAACUUUUUAUAGUUGACCUCGAAUCAGGUAGGAUUACCCGCUGAACUUAAGCAUAUCAAUAAGCGGAGGA